ACAGCAGCUGCCCCUGCAAAUGUCAGCGCCAGCCCAGUCAAAAGAGCUUGAAACCUACCAAGCCGGAGGACUGUGCUGUGCCUCUCUCGCCCACAUUUUCCCCAAGCACUCUCAGGAACCUGGCAACAGUGUCCCCUUGUGGCCAAGCCUGGAACAUCACAUCUGUACGUUGCAAUCUGUGGAUCAGCUACGAGGUAAGUCGCUCUUUGGAAGGGGUGGAGGUCUUUGCUGGACUUGUCUUCCGAAAAGUAUGAAGAGUGGAAGUCAAGGCUCAGAAUGGCGUCCUUUUUUACCUUAUCACCUUAACAAAAACUUCACCUUAGCUGCAGGGUUAAACCUCUGGGUUGGGGCUGGGGAUUUUCGUUGUUGUUGUUUUAAAGCAGCAGCCAAGGCCAUGUUUUUUAAGGUGGUGAGUUAAACGGAGCAAGAGCUGCGGUAGCCUUUUCCACCCAAUCUCUUUCUUCACAUCCUAGUCACAGCCAAGGGUAGGGUGGAUGGCAGUGAGGAUAAACAGCCCAGAAACAGGAUUCCUGCAGGGUGGGACUGGCAUUUUCCAUUUUUAUCUGAAGUUGUACUUUGAAUGCAGACACCUUUCUCUCAGGCCAGAAGCACUGCUCAUUUGUAUUGCUGGCUUCCAGUUAGCCUAUUUGCAAGGAUUACUUAGGAUUUCCAGACUGCAGGCCCAGCUACCCAGAGAGUGUGCCUCAAAGCCCCACCUCAAAGCUUUUAUCUCUAUGUGGCGGGAAACACCCACGAAAAUGCCAACGGCGGUAUUUGUAACUUGCCUUCUUCCUUUUGGGAACUGCUUUCUGCAGCUCUCUCUGCGUUAGAGGAAUAGCUACAGCUGGGAGCUGCUCCAGCCACGCAGGAGGAGAGGGCACCCAUUGAGAGGCGGGCACCCCUUCUGUCUCCCUCUGGCUAUGUUAACUGGAAACUAGGAAAGGGGUUCAGAUCAAAGUAACUGCUGUCUUCAGAAAGUUCCAUUCAUUAACUAAGUUAGCGGAAAUUAAAUGGUGUUUGGAGGAAGGUCAUUUCAGAAGGCCCAGGGCCAGAGGCUGAGGUCUAAAACUUCUAAUCUGGACUUCUAUUGAAGUUUGGCAGUAAGUUAAACAGGAAGUUGAAGGCUACCAUAUGUAAAUCCAGUUGUUGCCUGAAAUCAGUCAUUUCAAGGGAGUAUCUUGAAAGGACACAGACUGGGAAACAGGCAUGAGAAAAAAAAAAGGAAGUAGACAGACAUUUGGCUAGUAUGUGCCUGGACCACUUAACACUAAAGAUUAGAAACCUAGGGCUCUGAGUAAGAAUCAUUUGACCAGUAGCUAAAGUGAGUCAUGGCCUGCACAGAACUAGGGCACACAUGUUGAAGUCAGGAUGUUGAGAACAUCAGGCUUACUAAUUUGCAAGGCAGGAGUGCUGCUUCCAGUAGGGAAUGUGAUCAGGAUUUCACGGCUCAUUUUCCCAGCCUUUCCAACAGGUGCAAUCAAGUCAUCCGUGUACACAAGUGACUGCCCUGUUACAUCUGUUAGGAUUAAAUUUCCAUUUGUUCCAUUACUUUAUAUGAAGUGAUUUCUACUGCUGAGUCAGACAGAACACUUCCUCUUAGACCUAGGGACUUUUUUCAACAUUUUUAACAAUGUGUGUGUUUUUCAAAAUGUGUCCCAACCAGGUCUGCAGGUCUUCCUGGGUUGAAUGGACUGUUUACAGAAGGGGAAGAUUCAGGCCCAAGGUCAGGGUUACAGAAUUAUAUAAGGUUUCCUGUUUGGGCAGCUGGUCUAGCAACACCUCUGGUUGGGGCAGACUGGGUCUUGUUGAGAGAUAGCAUGCCCAGGAGGCUAGGGCAGGGAGAGUGCCAGGAGCAGGAAAGAACAUUUUUCUUUUCUUUUUUUUUUUAAGACCGUGUCUUACUCUGUCACCCAGGCUGGGGUGCAGUGGUGCGAUCUCGGCUCACUGCAACCUCCGCCUCCCAGGUUCAAACGAUUCUCCUGCCUCAGCCUCUCGUGUAGCUGGAAUUACAGCCGCCCGCCACCAUGCUUAGCUUAUUUUUAUAUUUUUAAUAGAGACGGGGUUUCACCAUGUGGGCCAGGCUGAUCUUGAACUCCUGACCUUAGAUGAUCUGUCUGCCUCGGCCUCCCAAAGUGCUGGGAUUACAGGCUUGAACCACCAAGCCCGGCCUGACAUUUUUCUUUUAAAUCUUUUAUCAACCAGCUUUCAUUUCUUGUCAGAUGUCACUUUUCAGCAACCUGUUGCUAUAUUCUCUGUUAGGAGAACUUUUUUUUUUUUUUUCUGGCCAGACUGAGAGAAAGGAAUGAAAGGAUGGAAGAAUUACAAGAUCAGGCACUGCUGUCUGUCUGUUCCACGGAUGUAACCACAGCACACGCGUGGCUCACGAUGGAUAUCUGAGAGCCAGCGAACUUUCUUUACCUCCUAGUAUCAUUUCAUGAAAAUUAGUAGCACCUGCACAAUGGGGCCUUGGAGACAGGAAUAAAAGGAAAAAUCUGGAAUGGAAUCACAUGACGCAACAGGCUAUGAAGACUCCCUGCCCGGCUGCUAUAUGUCUGGUAAACAGAAUAAAUAGUACUUGAGCAUCCCUGACUCUGAGACUGUGGGGUAGCUGGUUGUUUUAAGAUGGGACCAGGGUAUUGUGCACUUAUUGCCAAUUCUUGCUUCAGUAAGUGGGGUGGCUGUGCAGAGUGAGUGGCCUGUGUAUGAACCAGGGUCCGUCCCAUCUAAUGAGAGUCCGGUCAGGCUGAGUCCUCACCAAGACUUCAGCGUGGAUUCAUCAGUAACCUUGGUUCACUGGCAGGCUUGCUGGACUUUGGAGAAAAGGCUGACCCUCCCCCAAAGCAGCCCAUUGCUGCCACUGCCCUAGGAACAGAGGGCCUGGAGCCAGGGCUUGACCUGGUACAGGAGCUUUUGCACAAGGCCGGCUCAAACCUCCAAACCUGGGGAAACAGGAUGCAUGGUGAAGUGAAGAAGAAAGAAAAUGCAUCCACCGUUCCUUCCUGUUGGUGUCAGCACGAUGAGGAAUAAUUACCUGGAUCUGGAAAGCAGGCGUGUGGGAGGCUGCAGGCCCCCCUGAUCUGUGUAGUUAGGCACUUAAUUUUUCAUCCUCCUCCUUCUCUCUGCCCUCCCGAAACCGCCGUUUUCAAAGGAAAAACAGAAAAACGUAUCUGGGUAACCCGUGUAAUACUGUUUACAUCAGCCCACUUGGCCCAGAAAGGAUACCAGCUCCUUACUGAUGCUCAGAUAACAGGGUUAGUGCUUAAAAAAAUUAUGCCUUGGGCCGGGUGCGGUGGCUCACGCCUAUAAUCCCAGCACUUUGGGAGGCUGAGGUGGGUGGAUCACAAGGUCAAGAGAUCAAGACCAUCCUGGCCAACCAACAUAGUGAACCUGUCUCUACUAAAAAUACAAAAAGUAGCUGGGCGUAGUGGCGCAUGCCUGUAGUCCCAGCUGCUCGGGAGGCUGAGGCAGGAGAGUCGUUUAGGCCUGGCAGGCGGAGGUUGCAGUGAGCUGAGAUUGCGCCACACUGCACUCCAGCCCAGGCGGUGGAGUGAGUCUCCAUCUCAAAAAAAAAAAUUCUGUCUCAUUCAUUAUCCAACUUUGUCACUGAUAGAGAAGGACAUAGAUCCAGAGAAGAACUUGUCCAGGUGACCCCAGGGCUCUUUCCCCCUCCAUUACUUUUUUUUUUUUUUUUUUUUGAGCCAGAGUCUGGCUCUGUCACCCAGGCUGGAGUGCAGUGUCACAAUCUUGGCUCACUGCAUCCUCUGCCUCCUGGGUUCAAGCUAUUCUCCUGACUCAGCCUCCCUAGUAGCUGGGAUUACAGGUGCAUGCCACCCCGCCCAGCUAAUUUUUGUAUUUUUAGUAGAGAUGAGGUUUUAACUUGUUAGCCAGGCUGGUCUUGAACUCCUGACGUCAAGCGAUCUGCCUGCCUUGGCCUCCCAAAGUGCUGGGAUUAAGGGCGUGAGCCACCGCGCCCGGUCCCCUCCAUUACUCCUUAAGUGUCCCUUAAAGACUGUAUUUAUUUAUUUGAAACAGAGUCUUGCUCUGUCACCCAGGCUGUUGUGCAGUGGCAUGAUCUUGGCUCACUGCAACCUUCUGCCUCAGCCUCCUGAGUACCUGAGACUACAGGCGGGCGCCACCACACCCGGCUAAUGUUUGUCUUUUUGGUAGAGAUGGGGGUUUCACCAUGUUGGCCAGGCUGGUCUCGAACUCCUGAUCUCAAGUGAUCUGCCCCCUUCAGCCUCCCAAAGUGCUGGGAUUACAGGCGUGAGCCACUGCGCCCAGCAAAGACUGUGUUUAAAAUACUACCUUUCUGUUAGGUACUUGUCAUUUGCCAAAAUUAAAUAAAAACAGUCUAGGAACCUAGGAACCUGUGAAGUCAGUACUAAAAUCUAUACCAAUUUACUCCACAAACCCCCAUCCUCCUCCUCGUUGGUUGAGUGUUUAAUAAAGCCAGGCGCUUUACCUAUAGUCUCAUUAAAUUAAAAACAAUCCUGCAUAGGAAGUCAGGAUCUCAAUUUUGCAGAUGAAAAGGAGGCUUAUCUGGGCAUGCCCAGCAAGGUCUGGGGAACGCCCCUUAAUGGAGUACUUGAAUUUGUCUGCAGGGAGAGGUGGCAUCACCGCACUGUAAAUAGUUUCCGAGGUCAAGUUUGGCUAGUGGCUUUUAGAAUUGGGGCAGAAGGAUGCCAUCCUACUCCCACCUUCAGAGGCAUCUCAGGUUCUGGAGCUCUGUGCUAACUAAGCCCACCUGUGGAGGGUGGCAAUGGAGUGGUGACAGGCGUGCAAGGUUUCACGUCUUUAAAGAAAAGACAGCUCCAAGGACAGAGAGUUUUUUGUUGUUUGUUUUGUUUUUUGAGACAGUCUCACUCUGUUGUCAGGCUAGAGUGUAGUGGCGCGAUCUCGGCUCACUGCAACCUCCACCUCCCGGGUUCAAGCGAUUCCCCUGCCUCAGCCUCCCGAGUAGCUGGGACUACAGGAGGCGCCACCACGCCCGGCUAAUUUUGGUAUUUUUAGUAGAGAUGUAGUUUCACCAUGUGGGCCAGGAUGGUCUCGAUCUCUUGACCUUGUGAUCCGCCCACCUCGGCCUCCCAAAAUGUUGGGAUUACAGGCGUGAGCCACCAUUCCCAGCCAAUUUUUUUUUUUUUUUUAAAGAGACAGGGUCUCGCUCUGUUGCCAGGGCUGGAGUGCAGUGGUGUGAUCAUGGCUCACUACAUCCUCUAACUCCUGGGCUCAAGCGAACCUCCCACUUUAGCCUCCGGAACAGCUGGAACCACAAGCGCACACCACCACAUCCAGCUAAGUUUUAAAAAACUGUUUGUAAAGACAGGGUCUCACUAUGUUGCCCAGGGUCAAGGUCAGAUUUGUUAAUCCUUCUGACAUUGUCUCCUGUUGGAGUUCUGGAUGUUCAUUAGUUCAUCACCAUGCAUGUGAUUCACACACUGUACUCAGAAACAUUCUUUUUUCUUGUUUUUGUUUUUUUAUGAGACGGAGUUUCUCUCUUGUCACCCAGGCUGGAGUGCAAUGGCACGCACGAUCUCGGCUCACUGCAACCUCCACCUCCCCGGUUCAAGCAAUUCUCCUGCCUCAGCCUCCCGAGUAGUGCCACCACUCCCAGCUUAUUUUUGUAUUAGUAGAGACGGGGUUUCACCAUGUUGGCCAGGCUGGUCUCGAACCCCGGACCUCAGGUGAUCCACCUGCCUCGGCCUCCCAAAGUGCUGGGAUUACAGGCAUGAGCCACCGUGCCUGGCCAGAAACAUUCUUUUUAUUCGUUUUUAUUAUAAUUGUAGUAAGGGCCCUGGUAGGGGAUUUGAACUGUUUCUUUCCACAGUGUGGAAUGAUGUCUAUAUACAUUACAGAAUGGAGAUAUAGAUAUCUAUAGAGAUCUAUAGAUAUCUAUAGAGAUCUAUAUAGAUAUCUAUAGCUAUAUAGAUAUAGAGAUAUAGAUAU
rnacentral:lncRNA from 1 species